rfam:Halobacterium sp. NRC-1, complete genome.
CCUGACGACGCGUCGGGCCGGGAUGUGAUUCUCGGUGCGCCGGGAAUUGAACCACACA